UGGAGCCCCCGGCCUCGCCUCCUUUCCGCCCCCUCCGGCGCUCUCGGUGCGUUUGCGGGGCGAGGCGGCCGGAGAAGGAACGGGGAUCUCAGGCAGCUGGGUGUUGAGUCCCAGGCGAGCGCACGCGUGAGCGUUUGUAGCGCUCGCUGUCCCUAACUGGGCUUCCGUGGCAUCACCCCUCCGCCUGGACAUCUCCGGAGUCGUCAAGAAUUGAUCUUUUGCUGAUAAGGCUGUUCUUUGGAGCUGCAUCCGGUAGCCUUUCCAGGCAGAGGCAGGCUGGUGACCCAGUGAGGUGCUGAAGUGAAACCAACAACACCCAUUCUUCUCAUUUGGAAACAGCGGAUGUUCACAAGGGACCUGGAUAUUAUAUCAACAGGAUAUAAUGGGAAAACAAAAGAAGGCUGUAACUAGCAUGUAGACAAUGUAUCUUUAUUAUUUCCAAUUAAGGAGCUCUUGUUCUGUGGAGUAGUGUCCUGUCCCCUGCCACCCCCUUGGCAUCUUUAGUCUUCACAACAACAGAUUUUCAGCUCUUCACUGAUUAGAUUUGAGCUCUGUUUUUAUACAAAUGUUUUUUAACUUGGUCUGUUGGCUAAGGACAACCAGCUGCAACAUUAAAGGAGUAAUUUUAAUUCUGAUUGCAUUGCAUCUUCCACUUGGUAAGGAUUGAGUGCUUUUUAAAAAGCCCAUCUUGAAUCUUCUCAUGCUUGGGAAGAAGGGAAGAGAAACCAAUUCAUAAUAUAGUAUUUAUCUGGUUCUGUUUGCAAAAUUAAAUAUUUUCCCUGAAUAGGAAAUGGUACUGCAAAGGCCAUAAAAUACAGUAGCAGUGUUAGUCUUAAAGCCUAUCAUCUGAAAGAUACAUGACAUUCAGAUAUUGUGAAGGUAUUUGGGUUUUUAAAUAAAACACUAUUUUGACACUGC